GAUUUGAAACUUCAUAAAAUGAAUGUUGUCAAAAUCCUUUUUUUAAUGUUAUCCUUUAAAUUACUAGUUUUCGGAAUUCAUAACUACAAUUUAUAUGAGGUGACAGCCUUUAAUGACAUAGAAAGAGCUUUAUUAUACUCAAUGCACAUGAAAGAGGGCAACAUCAUUUUUCUCAAUAGCGUUACCAGUGAAGCAACUAUUCCAAUGAAUGUUAUUGUCAUUGAUAAAAAAGUAAAUUUCUUUGAAAAAAAACUCAAUAAAUUAUACAUUGAAUAUACAUUAAAGGAAACAAAAUCAGAGUUAAAGGAUUUACUACAAAUAAAUAAUUUUACUAAAUAUACAUGGAUAGAAAUACAAAAAAUGAUGAAGCACCUUUCUACUGGACAGAAUAGCAUUGUCGAGGCAAUACCUAUUGGCAAAACAUAUGAAAAUAAUAAUGUUAUUGUCUUUAAGAUAUCCAAGGGCAAAAAGAAAUGUGCUGCUUUUUUUCUUGGUGGUGAAGAUGCAAGAGAUUCGAAUUCUGCAGUUAUCAUACUGAAUCUAAUCAGGGGAAUUAUAGGCAAUAAAAUGAUUUUCAGUACUCUGUUGGACGAGUUAGACAUGUAUUUUCUACCAGUUUUAAAUCCUGAUGGUUUACGAUAUAAUUUGCAAAAGAAUAUUCUGUGGUCUAAAAAUAGGCAGACCAUACCUAAUAAGUUCUGCAAGAAAAAGAAAAUUGCCACUGGAGUUAAUAUUGACAGAAAUUGGUUACUAAAUUCAGUAGAAACUCAUAAUAAAGAAUGCAACCAUGUUUAUCAAGGUGCUAAAGGAUUCACAGAAGAAGAAACAAAGGCUUUGUCAAUUUAUUUAAGACAAAUUUCUCAAAAUCUGAUUACUUUCAUAAAUUUACGGAGUUUUCACCAAAUUAUUAGUAUACCAUACAGUGACAAGGGCCAAUUUUCAAACAACGAUGCAAUUUUAAUGGAAAUAUUAAAUACUGUAUGUGAGAGGAUUCAUAAAAUUCAUGGGGUGUCAUAUUUUUAUGGCAAUACUGCAAGUUUAAUAUAUAACUUCUCAGGUAACUCUGCAGACUGGGUUAAAAAGGAACUUAAUAUACCAGCAGUAUUUACAGUAUAUUUAAACUAUGAAAAUUCAGUGUAUCCUCAUAGAAAUAAUGUUAAGAUAUUAACUGAUAUAUAUUCUACAAUAUUGGAAGAAACAUUACAUUUAACUGAAAGUUUAUAUGAACCAUUAUUUAACAGUAUUGUAUCUGUUAAUUCAGACUUUAUCAUAUUAUUACUAUGCCUAAUUAUCUUUUCUUGUAACUAAUUUGUACAUCGAGCCAUAAACAUAAACUUAUUACAUUCAUGCAUGAUAAUUGUAUUUUUAAUAUUUUAAUAUUGUAAUGAGAUUUCUUUGAAUUUCAUAAUAAUAAAUUCACUUUUCAGUCAUUAAUUAAAUUAAAA